AAGUCGUAACAAGGUAACCGUAGGUGAACCUGCGGUUGGAUCAUUAAAAUAGCAUCCGCUUCGAGAAACCGGCCCAGCAGGACUCGCUCUCCGAGGGAGUCGCGGCCACGUUUCUACGAAACGAACCAUCCUGUGUGAACCGUAUUAUUUAUUCCAUCCACGUAAUAUCACAUUUCUGGUCUAAAGUCUUCUUCAUAUCACAACAAUAUGAAAAAAACAACUUUUGGCAACGGAUCUCUUGGCUCUC
rnacentral:misc_RNA from 1 species